rnacentral:tRNA from 1 species
GGAGGGGUGGGUGAGUGGCUUAAACCAGCAGUUUGCUAAACUGCCGUACUGGAAACGGUACCGGGGGUUCGAAUCCCCCCUCCUCCGC